AAGAAUGUAUCUAUGUGCAUAAUCAAUAUAAGAUCAUUAUAAGAUACUUGUACUAUUUUCAACAAAUUGUCUGACAUUGAACCUAAUGAUUUUCUUAAUUGCUAUAUCUCAGAUGUAAAAACAAAAAUGAUAUCUGGUUGGUUUACAGUGUAUAGAAAAUUUGGGCAUUAUCUAGUUUUUUAAGACAAAAUCAUCAAAAUUGAAAUCAUUCCUGAUCAUCAAACAAUCCUUUUGAUUCAUGACACUGAAGUUGGUUGCUAAAUAAUUAUGGUUUAUAAUGAUGGCUGAUUUUUUUUAUCAUUGUUUAACAAAUGAGUACAAUAGGAAGCGUACUAUAUCUAAUAAUCAACACUGGGCAGUAUUACUUUUUGAAAUCUUUACAGAAUAUACAUCAUUUUUUACUGGAACCAUUAUCAUUUCACAAAAACUAUAAAAAAAAUUUAGUAAAAAACAAUGCAAAAAAAAAUUCGUUUUGUUGAUUAUGUAGAUGUAAUUUAUUAAUUAAAUUAGUACUUGCUGUUUAGAAUUUAAAAAAAAAAAUUGCAAACUAUUGAAUCUUGUCGUUGCUUCACUUAGUUUAUGUUCUGAUACCUGUGCAUGAUUUAAAAUAUUUUCAAAAUAUGUAUUAAAGUUUAUGGUUCUCUUUUUUAUUGUCAAUAUUCUUCCAGGUGAAUGGAUGAUUCUCAAAGAAACCUGAACUAUCCAAGGAUUGUUUGAAUUUAUACUACAUUGUUGUUAAUCCAAAAAGAAAGUUUAUGUUCCUCUUUUUAAAAAUCACGAGCUGAUUUUACCUUUUCUCCCCCACCCCUCUUUUUUUUUGAAAAUUCCUGAAAAGAUCAUGAAUGUUGAGGCAUUGUGCAAGUGCAUUGUUUGUGAGUUCCAUCUCAGGUUUUUGUGUUUAUUUAUAACAGUUGAUUUUUGCAGAUGUGGUUGACGUUUGUUGCAUUUGAUGAUGAAAAUUUAUGAAUGUAAAUGCUACUUUUAUAUAGUAUACAAUAUGUUUGCCAUGGGAAAUGUGAAUGUUGAAUCACAAAAAUAUUGUCCAUAUUUUUUAAACACGAAUUGCUACUUCAUAUAAAAACACAUUUUGUAUAUUUCUUUGUUAUUCAUUUAUGAAAUCAGAUAACAAGAUG
rnacentral:sRNA from 1 species